GAACAGUUCUUAUAAACAAAACAUACGUCAAUUCAAUAUCUGCCUUGUACUCUUUAUUAGUGGCUCCACCCCACUGAUAUUUUGCAAGCAGCUUGACAGACAAUGCGAAAGUUAAACAGUCAAGCAGGCGACAGGAAUUCAGUAGCUGAUCUGACGAAGAUGGAACAAAGAAGGCGUCACAAUCCUAAAGACAGCACCCUGAAAUUUGUUACUCGACCAGAUGACAUUAAAAUCCACAACCAGUUCUUUGGUUUUUCCCGCAUGUAACUGGAGGCAGCUCUGUUGGCAUCAGUCCUCUGUACUCCCUGUCAUCAUCCGUGAUCAGUCCGACGAUGUCCGAGUCAUCAGAGAACUUCUGCAGGUGACCGGUUGCUGAGCUGAACAUGAAGUCUGCAGUGUAUACAGUGGAGCAUAACUGGGCCAGAACUUUUCCCUGCGGAAGGGUUCAAAUAUUCAUAUCUGUUAAAGUAAACCACAUCUGAGGGAAUGGGGCAGGCACUGUCCAAAUUAUUCUUCGUCAAAAGUCUUGUACAAAUUAUUGUUUAACUUUUGUAAGACAUUUCUUUAACUUUUUUCCUUCUUACUAUAGUCUUAUGCUCUUCUACCCUCUUAUAAGGACAGGAGAUGCCUGUGAUACAAAAGCUUGGGUCAUUUCAAAUUGUUGCAGAUUUGUCGCAAAAAGCAUAUUUUGUUAAGAAAUAAAAAAAAUGCUCAUAGUUUGUCUUAAUCUAAUGAAAAUUUCAAAUUUAGACUGUGUAUUUAAAUGCUGUUGCAUGUUCCCUGCAUAUUUUUCAUAAACUGUAUGAUUUGUAGGAAGGAAAAGACAAAGUUCAGGGUUGUGUGAUAAACUGAAACACAAAGUAUGUAUACAAUUGUGUUUUUCUUUCUUUCUGUGGAAUCUGUAUAUUAAGCUCAAUGAUUUUUUUAUGCAAUGUGCAAAUUAAAAAUGUAUAUUGGUUUACAUAGAGCAAAAAAAAAAGGGACCCUUAUUUUGAUAUUCUUGCCCGGGAGUGGCGAACGGAGUAGCUAUGAAAGAGCAGUUGUUCCCAUUCUGUUCAUUUUAUCCUGCUUUUACAGUAAUCUGUCUGAUGGGUUUCCGGAGGCCUGCAGCAGAUGUUGUUAAAUUAUUUCAAGGGAAAUAAUUAAAGUAAAUGUUUAUUCCAAAAACCACAUAUUACAAAGAUGACAUAUUUGUAAAAAAUAAUGUGAAAGAAAUAAUGAUUUUCCUGGUGAUUUUUUAAAGAUGAUAUAAAAAAGGUUACUAUAAAUACCUUUUGAAAAUGUAUUUCACUUUUACAAAGUAGAACUCCUCCCUACUGUUAUGUUGUAAUGCUUACUGGGAAAACGAAAGUUAGUCUGUCAAGCAGGCAACAGAACAUUAGUAAUUGACCUGACAACGAUGGAGCAAGAAAAACAACCCCCGCUGAAUUUUGUUAAUCGAAAGGAUGACAUUACACUAGAUGAUGAUCCCAACAUAAUGAGAAUAGAGAUGUCCUGUGGGCAUGUCGUCUCGUCGCAAUCUCUUACGGCCUAUUGCCGCAGUCUACUUGAUCAGCUCUGACGGAGGGAACAACUAAGUGUGGGGCGGAAUGGAAGUACAUGGAAGUGCGAAGGAUUGCUGUACUGAAUCAAGAGGAGCAGAGUCACUUUGAGGAGACUAUGGCUCAAUUGGCAGCAGCUAAGUACUGUGAAUACAACCAAUGCCCUGGUUGCAGUUCAUUUGUUGAGAGACAGGAUUUGACCAACCUGUGUGUACUCUGCACCAUCUGUACAGCUGAUAGCGGUAAGAGGUUUCAGUUCUGCUGGCAGUGUCUGAAGACCUGGAAAGGGCCAGGACCUCGCUCAGACAAGUGUGAAAACAGCGGCUGUGUUAAUGAUAAAAUUGAGAAGCUCUUAAAAUGUGAGGAAAUAAUAAUGACUUCAGUUCAAAACUUAAAAUGUCCAUCAGUGCGAGCUUGUCCUACAUGUGGAAACUUGGUUGAACAUGACACAACAGGAUGUAAGAAUAUAAUAUGCAAUCGCUGCAAUGUUGAAUUCUGCUUUUCUUGUUUAAAGCUCACUGCUGAAUGUCUAAAAACAAGCUCAUACUUUAAACCUUGCUCAAAUGGUGUAGCUCCUCGGCAAACAUCCAUUCCAACCUGGAGUAAGUAGGUAACUAAAAUCUUGGUACAAUAAAAAGCACAAAGUGCUUCUUUCUUUCUUUUUAGCAUUCUUAAUAUUGGCUUAGCCUAAUAGAUUUAAUGUUACAUAAUACUAUAAAAUACAUCAUAAAUUCAACAUGAUUAGAAGGAACAGAUAUCCUGACAAUUGUCAAAAAAUAUAUAUUAAAUUGUAUUGAAAAUCG